CCUUUUUUCUAUUUCCUGUUUUCUUUUUCUUUUUGUUUCCUUUUUCUUUUUCCUGUUUCUUCUUUUAUUUUUCUUUUUUCCUUUUUUCUGUUUCCUGUUUUCUUUUUCUUUUUGUUUCCUUUUUCUUUUUCCUGUUUCUUCUUUUAUUUUUCUUUUUUUCCUUUUUUCUGUUUCCUGUUUUCUUUUUCUUUUUGUUUCCUUUUCCUUUUUCCUGUUUCUUCUUUUAUUUUUCUUUUUUGUUUCCCUUUUCUGUUUUAUUUUACAUUUAUUUACAAAUUGUCAAAAUGUCAUUUCAACACUUAAAAAAUAA
rnacentral:lncRNA from 1 species